rnacentral:lncRNA from 1 species
ACAUCUUGUUGAAUGUUUGGUUUGUUGUUAUGAUAGUCAAACUAUAAUGAAACUUAAUGUAUCACAAGAGACUGAAUUGCACUUCUUGUCUCGCCAUAUAUUUGAUUAAAAAGAAUAAAGAGAGAUACGUUUUAAGUUAAUAACAUGUACUUGUUGAUUUGCUUUGUUCUUUUUUUCUUGAAUACAAAAAGCUAAGCCCUUUUCAGUUUUGAUUAGCUUCCCCCCCCCCCCUCUCUUAUGUCACCCCAUAAAGACAUCGAAUUCGUUACAAACCUCACUCUAUCUAUAUUACCCCUGCCCCUCAAAUUUAACCUCUGAUUUCCCUCAGAUGUACUCCCAAAGCACUUAACCUUUUGUUACCAUGACCCAUAUGGCACUGGCCUCAUUGUUCUGACAUGAAUUUGUUGGACGCAUUCCCAACCAUAAAUGCCCCUCUUGCUCUCUCGUAUUAUGCUCCUUUCAGACUCUAUCUGUGAAAUGCUCUCCUUGUCUCCCUUGAAACUUCUAAUCUGAAAGUGUCCAGAUUAUUUGUUUUACUGUCUGUCGUGAAACAUGGUUAUUCGUUGGACUGAUUUGUAAAGUUGAUGAAUUUUGAAAUCUACUAGCCAACACUCAAGAUUCACUGGUGAUUGACCAAGUAUAGGAUCACAUAUGCGGGGAACAUCAACAGGGACUUUUACGAGGAUUAUUGUGGGCAUCUAUUUUAUCUCUCUGUAUAACCAGGGACACAAGAAAUUCAUUGCACCUGCAGGAUUUUCAUUUGGAGGCCCUUCUAGUCCUGUAAGAGAUCGAGAUUCCCCUUUCUUUUAGAAGAAAAGGAAGGCUCCUCAGGAACUAUAGUUCAAAUAGAGAGAUGCAAUGAUUAUCAGUAAAACUCAACUAUACGAGACAUAAAAUGAGAAUAUUUAUUUACUAUACCUUUCUAACAUUUUAAGCUUCUUAGGCCUACUGAGGACGUCUAAUUUCAUUGCCAAUGCUUCUAAAGCAUAGAGAUGCAGGCAGAACCUGUGUAAAUACCCUUUUUUUUUUUUUUUUUUUUUUUAAAGAUAAACUUCGAUAUAUUGUAUGAUAUGUGUCUUCAACGUUUCUUCCUCAGAGUCCUCCAUUUCUGGUAAAAGUUUUAGUUCCCAUUUUCUUUGGCCAAUUUUUAAUGUAAGCCUGCUACAUGAUUGAUAGGUAUUUGUAUAGAGGCUUGUCUACUGGAGAUCGACCCACAUGCGACCAAUGCCUGCGAAUUCAUGAGAAGCUGACUGAGAGAGCUGGUUUGGGAUGCAUAUUACGAUCCCUUGCUGACACAUCGAACACUGUGUGAUAACCAGAUUGUGCAACGAAUUCCCUGUUGUUUAUUAUCCCUGUAAACUUGUAUGCAAAGUUGAACAAAAACUAUCCAAGAAGAAUUUCUGAAAGUACUGGAUUUUUAUCUACAUUCGAAAAGCUUAUGUGUGGUUCUCAAACCUCUCUCUCUUAAUUUUGCCUCGAAGAGAUGCUAUCUGCCUAUCUUUAUGAUCACAUGUAAAGGUGGACAAUGGGUGGUUUGAUCCAAAUAGUUUGAGAACAUGACCAAACUGAUUCCAAAUUAGGAUUUAAUAUAUAGACUUGUUGGGUUGCAC